rfam:Citrus sinensis cultivar Ridge Pineapple sweet orange scaffold00058_contig_47, whole genome shotgun sequence.
AUCUCUUGUGAUGUUCAAAAUGAAAAACUUUCGUUCUCCUGAGCUUGAUAAUGCUGAAAAUCUUUGGAGACCUGAGCUGAAGAGUU